GCCCCGGUAGCUCAGUUGGCAGAGCGGCUGAAAAUUUUGCUGAAUCUCGUAAACAGCAGGUCGCGAGUUCAAAAUUAAUUGAAAAUCUCGCCCGGGGCU
rnacentral:tRNA from 1 species